rnacentral:lncRNA from 10 species
UUCCAAAAGACCAUGGAGAUGUCUGGCUGCUAUAGAUACCCCAGAAAGUCACUCACCAAACAAAUUCGGAAAAAUUGGAAAAAUUAACAUUGCAUUGGGCAUUCUGGGAAACCAGGGCCAAGAAGUUUAGGCUCUCGCUGACAGUUAUAUUCAUUCUGGAGCCACAAAGUCCUCCUGUUUAAUUAAGUGCUGAGAGUUGGGGACUCGCUUAAUGACUGGAUUGCCUCUUGUUCCCAGCACAAAAAAGUGGACCAACAUCUGCAUGGUCUUCUCCAGGUAGGAGAGAGCAGAUGGUUUAAGCCUUUGCCAGGAGGCCUCAUUCACACGCUGGAUUUUAAGGCAUCGUGGUGCUUGUGAGGUGCUUGGUGAGUCUCAGUCAAAUGCUUCUUUGUAAGGCGUGGUAUGAAGGGGUCACUUAGAAGGUGAGCAAGACAUUAAAUGCUCCAUUUCCUCACUGUGAGGUAACACUCUGCAGUCAAACCAGGAGGAGGGAUUUAUUUCAUUUGCUCCUGAAGUUAAAUCUCAUGAAAUCAUGUGAAAUUCAGUGAUGUGUUACUGGGAACAAAAAGGGUUACGUUAUUAAUUGUGAUGCCUUCCCACAAGAGCUGUGUCUGUACUGUGCCACAUAACCCCUGAAGCUGAAUAAAGAACUUUCUCCUUGAUUCCCCCAGCCCUCCAAAAACAUCAGGUGAUGAGGUCCCAUUGUAAAUGACCCAAGGACAAACAGCUCAUGACUUCAAAGGAGGCCUCUUCAACCCAGGGCAAAUUCAGGCCUUCAUUCCAGGGGUCUGUAAGCAAGUACUGAGUGAAGAGAUAUCCUAAAAUCAAUCGGUAAAUUGCAUGUUUGAAGUAAACUAAAAACCAAAUUUCAGGGUUGAUGCUGGCUUUGGAGGAGAUGGGAAAAUCAUUUGUUUGGAGACAAGAAGCAUGUUAUGCCGGUAGAUGUGUGCACAUAUGCUUCUAUAAGUGGGUACAUGCAUUCCCACUUUUCCUGCCAAGUCUUUAGAAAACCACUUAAGUAAGAAUGGAGAAAUGUAGCAUUGUAGCUUCCCUACAGUUUGUGUUCAUUUUGUUUAUUGCAGUUCCUCUUUGCCAACCCUGGAUAAUGGCAACAACUUCUUUAGUGGCAUGCUGCAUGCUCUGUUUGGUCAUGUCCAGAGAUACCCAAGAUAAAGAAGUUUGAUAAAUAUACACAUUAACUCAGCAAAAAUAACAUGGUUAUUUUCAUGAAUAUUGCACUUGGGCACAUCAGCAAAAUUCAAAAGUGAUAAAAGGUGAGCAUUGUAUAUGAAUUUUGCAUAUGUACAUGGUAAUAUUUUGACACUAGGAACAAUAUUUUAAGUUGAAAUGUCUAUAUUUUAAUUUAGUAAAGAUUUGGCAAGCCCCUGCUAUAUUAGCAAUAUCAAGAUAAUGAGAUAAAGAUCCCACUCUCAAUAAAAAUAUAAAAUUAUACAUGUUUCUUGUGCCCAUCAUCAGCCAUCGUUAUGAACAUCACUCUGAACUGUUAUGCACAAUAAGAUAACUAGAGGGUUAAAAAUGAAGGUUUUACUGCUCACGUUGAAUAUUAUUUUUAGAAAAGAAAGUCAUUUCUAUUAUAGAGGAGGCAUUGUGGUCUACUAUAAUGGCAAGCAUAUUAAAAACAAUGCAUUCCUGGUGAAAUAAUGCUUAGAGCAUAGUCAACAAAAUAAGCAGGCUGCUGAAAAAAGUUUAAAUGUCAUAUUUCAUUAAUUCUAAGACACAUUUCCUCCUGCUUUUAGAUCUCUCAAAUUGAAAGGCAUCUUACAACCUAUAGAUGAAAUCUAGUAAAUAGAAUAAGAUAAAAAGUAUCUUAGUUUCUUUCCUUGGGUUGUUUGCCUUUCUUUUAAGGGAAGGUUUGUUUGACUGUUGUGUUUUGUUUUUAACAGCUUGUUUAUGAAUCUUCCCUUUUCUAGCGUUAAUGAUUGUGUGAGCCUAGAAUUUAAAUGGUACAAAACUCUGAUUUUUGUUUUUAUUCUUUGUUCUGACCAUUACUGAGGGGAGUACAGGACACUGAAGCAGAAACAAGGUCUGAAAGUGGCAAUGUGGACCUUGCUCCUCUGUGGAGGACUCUGGUACCUGUCUGUGUCUGAAUCUUGCCACUUCCACUUAUCUAGCUUUGCGAUCUGGAAAAGAUUAACUUUAGCCUCUCUGUGCCUCAGUUUCUUCAAGUGCUGAAUAAUGGUAUCUACCUCAUAGUGCUGCUAUGAGGGUUGAGUUUAAUAUAAGUAAGGCCUUAGAAUAAUGCCUGGCACAUACUAAAUAUUCUCUCAACUUUAGCUGUUACCAUUGUGCCUCACUUCC